rnacentral:rRNA from 1 species
UACGGGGGGGGCAAGCGUUGUUCGGAAUUACUGGGCGUAAAGGGCUCGUAGGCGGCCAACUAAGUCAGACGUGAAAUCCCUCGGCUUAACCGGGGAACUGCAUCUGAUACUGGAUGGCUUGAGUUCGGGAGAGGGAUGCGGAAUUCCAGGUGUAGCGGUGAAAUGCGUAGAUAUCUGGAGGAACACCGGUGGCGAAGGCAGAUCUCUGGGCCGUAACUGACGCUGAGGAGCGAAAGCAUGGGGAGCGAACAGG